rnacentral:tRNA from 1 species
GGAGGAUUCGCCUAGUGGCCUAGGGCGCACGCUUGGAAAGCGUGUUGGUGGCAACGCCUCAGGGGUUCGAAUCCCCUAUCCUCCGCCG